rnacentral:ncRNA from 1 species
AUUUUUAGAAUACUAUUUGGGUUAAACCAAUUAGUUCUUAUUAAUUAUAACGAUUAUCAAUUAACAAUCAAUUCAGAACUGGCACGGACUUGGGGAAUCCGACUGUCUAAUUAAAACAAAGCAUUGUGAUGGCCCUAGCGGGUGUUGACACAAUGUGAUUUCUGCCCAGUGCUCUGAAUGUCAAAGUGAAGAAAUUCAAGUAAGCGCGGGUCAACGGCGGGAGUAACUAUGACUCUCUUAAGGGGAUCAGGGGUAAUUGCGAGCAGAGGGGGAGUAUUUUUCUGUAAUUCGUA